rnacentral:tRNA from 1 species
GCCGCGGUAGUUCAGCCUGGGAGAACGCGGGACUGAAGAUCCCGUUGUCGGGUGUUCAAAUCACCCCCGCGGCA